AUUAACGCAAUGGGUAGCGCGUUGAACUUCGAAUCCAAAGGUCGUAGGGUUGAAUCCGACCUGAAAUG